UUCCAUCUUGAGAAACCACUUGCUUUGCUCAUCCGUAAGAAGCAACCUUUUACCUGUUCAAGUUUGAUGAUGAGAUGCAGCAAUUCAGUCCCAUCUCCAGGCUCCGCUUCUAAUUCUAGUUCUGUUGCUGAUCGCACCGCACCUGCAGUGACUUCCUCCACUGAAGUCCCCACCUCCUCAAAGUCAUCCACGAGGGUGGGAGUCGACGUCUCCCAAACUCUUAUUCACGAUGCUAUUCUGACGUCUUCCUGUGAAUCACAAAUGUUCUUAAUGGCAUCUAAAUGAUGUGACUGGUGGGGCACUGCCUGAGCUGGCCCAGGGAAGCUGUUGGGGAGUGACUGCUUCCUGCCUUUUGCCUGCCUGUGGUCCAAGGAUCCGAACAAACCAUGAUCUUAUGAUGGACCUCAAUGAAGCAGCCGUCACGGCAUCGCCACCAGGAGCAGGUUCCAUCUCAAGAAACCACUUGCUUUGCUCAUCCGUAAGAAGCAACCUUUUACCUGUUCAAGUUUGAUGAUGAGAUGCAGCAAUUCAGUCCCAUCUCCAGGCUCCGCUUCUAAUUCUAGUUCUGUUGCUGAUCGCACCGCACCUGCAGUGACUUCCUCCACUGAAGUCCCCACCUCCUCAAAGUCAUCCACGAGGGUGGGAGUCGACGUCUUCCAAACUCUUAUUCAUGAUGCUAUUUUGACGUCUUCCUGUGAAUCACAAAUGUGGUUAAUGGCAUCUAAAUGGUGAGUCCUUUCAGAAGUUCUUGGUUUGCUUUGCCCAGAUCCGUCAGAGGAAUCCCUGUCUAUGGCAGCUUUAGCCUCAGGAAAUGUGUGUACUAAGUAACAAGACUUGAAAGUCAAAAUGACUCGCUGGGCUGCAGAAUGGAUGCUGUAUAGCAGGCAUGAAAAGCACGUGAUCUAGAGGCACAUCUCUGACAGAGCUUCGGGGUAAACAAGGCAUUGUCAUGAGGACUCAUCUUUGGAAAGGAAUCCUUUGUUUCUGAGCAGUGGGUCUCAAUCAUGGGCUUAAAAGAUUAUCCAGGCUUUGUUGUUUCAUUUAUAGAGCACAGGCAGAGUAGAUUGAGUAUAAUUCUUAAGGGCCCUGGAUUUUUGGAAUUGUCAGUGAGUGUUGGCUUUGAAAAUCACCAGCUGCAUUAGUGCCUAGCAAGAGACUGAGCCUGCCCUUUGAAGUUUUGAAACCAGGCAUUGACUUCUCUGAUUCUGGAAGUCCUAGAUGGCAUCUUUUUCCAAUAGAAGCCUUUUUGAUCUCCAUUGGAAAUCUGCUGUUGAGUGUAGCCACCUUCAUUAAUCAUCUUAGCCAGGUCUUCUGGGUAACUCGCUACAGCUUCUCCAUCAGCACCUGAUGCCUCCCCUGCACUUAUCUGUCACAGAAACGCCUUCUUUCCUUAAACCUCAUGCACCAACCUCUGCCAGCUUCCAACUUGCCUU